UACGGAGGGUGCGAGCGUUGUCCGGAAUCACUGGGCGUAAAGGGCGCGUAGGCGGCCCGAUAAGUAGGGGGUGAAAUCCUGCGGCUUAACCGCAGGGCUGCCUUCUAAACUGUCGGGCUAGAGCACGGUAGAGGCAGAUGGAAUUCCCGGUGUAGCGGUGGAAUGCGUAGAGAUCGGGAAGAACAUCAGUGGCGAAGGCGGUCUGCUGGGCCGUUGCUGACGCUGAGGCGCGAAAGCCAGGGGAGCAAACGGG
rnacentral:rRNA from 1 species